CGAACGCUGCGCCCUGACAUGCUGUUCCAAGUGAAAUCACCCUACAGGAAAUCAAAUGGAAAAAUAUAAAGCAUCAUACGGUUGACAUCCUGCUCCCUUUGACAUCAGUGGAAAAAUUAUUAAUGUCUCCACUAGGAAGAGAGGCUGUGGACUGUCAACUGGAAAACAGGACAAUUGGGAUCGGCGCUCUGCACAGCAAGCAGCCCCUAGGAUGCUGGCAGGCUGGUAUUCCUCACAGGGCAGGCAGAAUGCACAACACCAGCAG